rnacentral:rRNA from 1 species
AGUCACUGACAUUAGAUACCCGUGUAGUCCCAGCCGUAAACUAUGCGCGUUAGGUGUACUGGUGACCACGAGUCACCGGGGUGCCGAAGGGAAACCGUGAAACGUGCCGCCUGGGAAGUACGGUCGCAAGGCUGAACCUUAAAGGAAUUGGCGGGGGAGCACCGCAACGGGAGGAGCGUGCGGUUUAAUUGGAUUCAACACCGUAAAACUCACCAGGGAAGACUGUUACAUGAAGGCCGAGAUGAAGACUCUGCUAGAUUUUCAG